AUACUUACCUGGACGGGGUCAAUGGGUGAUCCAGAAGGCCUAUGGCCUAGGUCAGUGACUUCCAUUGCACAUUAGGAAGGGUGCUGAUCUAAGGUCUCCCAAAGUUGGGAGAGCCUACGUCAUAAUUUGUGGCAGUGGGGGCCUGCGUUCGCGCGGCCCUUAU